UCAAAGUAAACUGUAAAAGAAAAGCACAUUACUGUAAAACACUCAAAACUCUUGUACAUCUUCAAAUCAAACUGAUGACAGAUUUAUUCUGCCUCAGUAUCAUAUCUUUGUGCAGCAUAUCCUGGACUCUGGGAAGAG